rnacentral:rRNA from 1 species
GGGUGAGUAAUGCGUCGGAACGUACCGAGUAAUGGGGGAUAACGCAGCGAAAGUUGUGCUAAUACCGCAUACGCCCUGAGGGGGAAAGUGGGGGAUCGUAAGACCUCACGUUAUUCGAGCGGCCGACGUCUGAUUAGCUAGUUGGUGGGGUAAAGGCCCACCAAGGCGACGAUCAGUAGCGGGUCUGAGAGGAUGAUCCGCCACACUGGGACUGAGACACGGCCCAGACUCCUACGGGAGGCAGCAGUGGGGAAUUUUGGACAAUGGGGGCAACCCUGAUCCAGCCAUUCCGCGUGAGUGAAGAAGGCCUUCGGGUUGUAAAGCUCUUUCAGCUGGAGAGAAACGGUGAGCUCUAACAUAGCUUGCUAAUGACGGUACCAGCAGAAGAAGCAUCGGCUAACUACGUGCCAGCAGCCGCGGUAAUACGUAGGGUGCGAGCGUUAAUCGGAAUUACUGGGCGUAAAGCGUGCGCAGGCGGAUUGUUAAGCACGACGUGAAAUCCCCGGGCUUAACCUGGGAAUGGCGUUUUGAACUGGCAGUCUAGAGUGCGUCAGAGGGGGGUGGAAUUCCACGUGUAGCAGUGAAAUGCGUAGAGAUGUGGAGGAACACCGAUGGCGAAGGCAGCCCCCUGGGAUGACACUGACGCUCAUGUACGAAAGCGUGGGUAGCAAACAGGAUUAGAUACCCUGGUAGUCCACGCCCUAAACGAUGUCAACUGGUUGUUGGGGGAAUGAAACGAUGUCAACUGGUUGUUGGGGGAAUGAAAUCCCUUAGUAACGAAGCUAACGCGUGAAGUUGACCGCCUGGGGAGUACGGUCGCAAGAUUAAAACUCAAAGGAAUUGACGGGGACCCGCACAAGCGGUGGAUGAUGUGGAUUAAUUCGAUGCAACGCGAAAAACCUUACCUACCCUUGACAUGUCCGGAAUCCUGCAGAGAUGCGGGAGUGCCCGAAAGGGAAUCGGAACACAGGUGCUGCAUGGCUGUCGUCAGCUCGUGUCGUGAGAUGUUGGGUUAAGUCCCGCAACGAGCGCAACCCUUAUCAUUAGUUGCUACGCAAGGGCACUCUAAUGAGACUGCCGGUGACAAACCGGAGGAAGGUGGGGAUGACGUCAAGUCCUCAUGGCCCUUAUGGGUAGGGCUUCACACGUCAUACAAUGGUCGGUACAGAGGGUUGCCAAGCCGCGAGGUGGAGCCAAUCCCAGAAAGCCGAUCGUAGUCCGGAUUGUUCUCUGCAACUCGAGAGCAUGAAGUCGGAAUCGCUAGUAAUCGCGGAUCAGCAUGUCGCGGUGAAUACGUUCCCGGGUCUUGUACACACCGCCCGUCACACCAUGGGAGUGGAAUCUGGCAGAAGUAGGUAGCCUAACCGCAAGGAGGGCGCUUACCACGCUGGGUUUCAAGAGGUGGGGUG